rnacentral:tRNA from 1 species
CCUGGUGGCUCAGACAGUAAAGCAUUUGCCUGCAAUGCAGGAAACCCAGGUUCAAUUCCUGGGUCCAGAA